GGAAAAGCUCUCUAGGUAGAGGCCUAGGAGAGACCUGCCUAAAGUAGGGAAGAGGUGGAGAUGCCUAGAGGAGAACUUAAGAGUUUGGUGAGGAAGUAGCACAGUGGAAAACUGCAGCACAGUGUUGGCUGCUGUCAGACACAAGAUACUAACUCAGUUGAGAGGGUACAGAAAAAAGCCACAAGAACGAUUCAAGGUCUGGAAAACCUGCCAUACAGUGAGAGACUUAAGGAGCUUACUUUGUCUGCUUAUCAAAGGGAAGGUUAAGAGAUCCUUUCAGAUAGAAUUAUUAUGUUGCUAUUGUACAGCACCUUGCACUUGGAGGGUCCUUCUUGCAGAGAUGGCAGCAAUUACCAUGGCAUGUACAAAUAACAAAU